GUCGAGGGGCAUCGGGAUUGAAGCUUGCUUCAAUUGCCGGCGACCGGCGCACGGGUGCGUAACGCGUAUGUAACCUACCUAUAACAGGGGCAUAACACUGAGAAAUUGGUACUAAUUCCCCAUAAUAUUCGGAGAGGCAUCUCUCCGGGUUGAAAACUCCGGUGGUUAUAGAUGGACAUGCGUUGUAUUAGCUAGUUGGUGAGGUAACGGCUCACCAAGGCAACGAUACAUAGGGGGACUGAGAGGUUAACCCCCCACACUGGUACUGAGACACGGACCAGACUCCUACGGGAGGCAGCAGUGAGGAAUAUUGGUCAAUGGACGCAAGUCUGAACCAGCCAUGCCGCGUGCAGGAAGACGGCUCUAUGAGUUGUAAACUGCUUUUGUACGAGGGUAAACUCACCUACGUGUAGGUGACUGAAAGUAUCGUACGAAUAAGGAUCGGCUAACUCCGUGCCAGCAGCCGCGGUAAUACGGAGGAUUCAAGCGUUAUCCGGAUUUAUUGGGUUUAAAGGGUGCGUAGGCGGUUUGAUAAGUUAGAGGUGAAAUCCCGGGGCUUAACUCCGGAACUGCCUCUAAUACUGUUAGACUAGAGAGUAGUUGCGGUAGGCGGAAUGUAUGGUGUAGCGGUGAAAUGCUUAGAGAUCAUACAGAACACCGAUUGCGAAGGCAGCUUACCAAACUAUAUCUGACGUUGAGGCACGAAAGCGUG
rnacentral:rRNA from 1 species